rnacentral:rRNA from 1 species
GUAGUUAGCCGUGGCUUAUUCUUGGGGUACCGUCUUCUACUCUUCCCCCUUAAAAGAAGUUUACAACCCGAAAGCCUUCUUCCUUCACGCGGCGUUGCUGGGUCAGACUUGCGUCCAUUGCCCAAUAUUCCCCACUGCUGCCUCCCGUAGGAGUCUGGACCGUGUCUCAGUUCCAGUGUGGCCGAUCAGCCUCUCAGCUCGGCUACCCAUCGCUGACUUGGUGGGCCGUUACCCCGCCAACUAUCUAAUGGGACGCGAGCCCCUCCCUCUGCGGAUUUCUCCUUUGACCUCAAAGCGAUGCCGCCUCGUGGUCUUAUGCGGUAUUAGCAUCUGUUUCCAAAUGUUAUCCCCCUCAAAGGGUCAGGUUGCUCACGCGUUACUCACCCGUUCGCCACUAAGUUAUCAACCGAAAUCAAUAACUCCGUUCGACUUGCAUGUGUUAGGCACGCCGCCAGCGUUCGUCCUGAGCCAGUAGUACUAACUAACCUCGUACGUACGUAGACGGGCGGUCGGUCGGACGACGGCCGACUAG